UGCAGCGGCCUGCGUGGUGGCCGGUGGUGCAGUUGGACCUGGCCCGUGGACCUUUCCGAACCUCUCUCUACACCUCCUCUUCUACACGUCACCCCAAUGCCCUGGACUCAGAAUCACCUGUUUCCGGCACGGGGCGGAUCUCACCCUCUCGGGCAGCCUCCCAAGGGCACACUCCCCGGACUCCGGUAGCAAAGGGCAGCUGGCCGGCUUCUGCGGGGGGAGAGGGAGAGGAUGGGCGCGCUGAGCUGCCACCUGUGUGCAGGCGAGGACCCUUCUCACAGCGAACAAACUGCCAGGAGAGAAACAGAGGCAGGCGGCGGGGACCGAGGUCGGCUCUCUCCAUGCCCCCGGGGCCGGGGCAGAGCCCCGAGGAACGGAGAGCUGUAACUGUGAAGCAGGCUUGCCGGGAGGGUUUGAAGGGAUGCAGUCAGCUCUUCUUGGUGCCGAGAGGGACGUCUUCAAGGCCUGGGUCUAAGGCAAGGCAUCCAGAACAGCCAAAAGGCGGAAGCAACUCAAGUGUCCAUCAGCGGAUGAAUGGAUAAGCAAACCGUGGUGGGACCAGACCCUGCAGUAUCACCCAGCGUUAAGGGGCGCCUGGCAGGCUCCGCUGGUCCAGCGGCCAAUCCCGAUUUCACUGGCACUCAUUGGAUUACCCCCCUGUCAGAGUCUCCCUGGGUGUGGGGUCUCCUCCUCCCUCUUCCUCUGAUCGUCCCCCUGCUUGUGCUUGCUCUCUCUCUCAUUCUAAUAAAUAAGUAAAUCAAUAAGGUCUUGAA